rnacentral:rRNA from 1 species
ACUGCAGGCUGCAACCCGCCCUGCACGAAGUUGGAAUUGCUAGUAAUCGCGGAUCAGCAUGCCGCGGUGAAUACGUUCCCGGGUCUUGUACACACCGCCCGUCACACCAUGGGAGCCGGUAAUACCCGAAGUCAGUAGUUUAACCCUUGUGGAGGACGCUGCCGAAGGUAGGAUUGGCGACUGGGGUGAAGUCGUAACAAGGUACC